CUCACAAGCAAAACAUAGUGUACGUUUAACAGACUUAAGAAAGUGAAGUAAUAGUGUGUGAUCGAUUCAAAAAUUAUUUAAUGCAAUGAAGAUGCGCCGUGAUUUCUACAACAGUGGAUUUACCUGCGCCGUUGUGUGGCUGUCGCUGGCUUGUCUGCUGUUCAUCCUCUCGCUAGCAACAAUGAUCACCGCCAAGCCGACCAUCAAUGAGAUUGACAUGAUUAGCAAUGCUACAAACGAAACGUACCCACCUAUCAUGUGUCCCAUAAUGACAUGCCGCUGGGGAUUCAGUCACGAAAUCGAUGAAGUCACCGGCUGUCAAACGUGCUGGGAUCCCUGUUCCAACGUUGAAUGUCCAGAAAACAAGACAUGCGUGCUACAAAUGCGGGCAUGUUUUACAACACCGUGUCCCCCGUUAACUACCUGUGAGAAUAUUACAUUUUAAUCUGCAGGCGAAUCCUUGCAGAUCACCAAUUCGCAACGACUAUUUGCAAUGUGCCAGACCCAGGACAAUCUUGCGUUAAUGGUUCACACAUCAAAGAGGUAAUGAAGACAAAUAUCAAUGAAAAUAUAAUAAAAUCAUUUCCCAUACCUAGAUCCUCGACGAUCAAACAAAUGUCCGUCGAUAAAUUCAUUAUUCGCGAAUAAAUGUUUCCGAUUUCACAAAAGAAUCGUUAUUUUAUGUCUUAAACUUUAAAAAAGUAGAUUACAUUUCCGAAUCGUCCUCUAUAUUUUGUCAAAAUUGCUUAAUAAAUUUACAAACGAUUUAUAAAUUUACAUUACAUGAAUAAUGUCGAACAAGUAUAAUGUCUUUAAUAGUUGUCUUUAGAAUCUAUAUAGUCAUAUGUAUGAACACCGGAUCCAAGAAUGUCGCAUGCAUUCGUUUGAUCGUCAAGUCUGGACCGUAAUGAUGAAUCUCGUGGACAAUAAAUUAGGACGAAAUAUCGACAGAUAUACAUGACAUUGUUUUGACUACGAUGUAUACUAUACCAUGUACGACAUUACUUCGUUUCCAGGUUGCAUUUAUGAUUGUGAGCUUUUAUUUAUUAACCAUUAAUAGUUAAGAACAAAUUCAGUUACGUAUAUAAGAUUAUUAAACAUAUUCAAAGUUAU